AACGAACGCUGGCGGCAUGCCUAACACAUGCAAGUCGAACGAGACCUUCGGGUCUAGUGGCGCACGGGUGCGUAACGCGUGGGAACCUGCCCUUAGGUUCGGAAUAACUCUCCGAAAGGGGUGCUAUUACCGGAUAAUGUCUUCGGACCAAAGAUUUAUCGCCUUUGGAUGGGCCCGCGUUGGAUUAGCUAGUUGGUAGGGUAAAAGCCUACCAAGGCGACGAUCCAUAGCUGGUCUGAGAGGAUGAUCAGCCACACUGGGACUGAGACACGGCCCAGACUCCUACGGGAGGCAGCAGUGGGGAAUAUUGGACAAUGGGCGAAAGCCUGAUCCAGCAAUGCCGCGUGAGUGAUGAAGGCCUUAGGGUUGUAAAGCUCUUUUACCCGGGAUGAUAAUGACAGUACCGGGAGAAUAAGCUCCGGCUAACUCCGUG
rnacentral:rRNA from 1 species